UUCAUCUGAAAGUGUUUAGAAACAGAAAUCUGAACUGUUCCUGCAGAUCCAAUCGUUACUGUCAUAGGGAAAGCCAACAACAAAAAAAGAAAAUUAAAGAAAGGUGAUGGUUAAUAACUUUUGCAUAAAUGGGCUUUAGUCUGAAAUUUAAGGAUAGUAUUUUUCUUUCUCUCUCGACAGCAGCGAUUCGCUCUGACAGGAUGCUGGAGCAAAAAAACACUGUUCCUGUUGUCUCGAUAGUUUAUCAUAAAUAAUCCCGUGUAAUUUGACAUCAAGUGAAGAUGUGGGAAAGGCUAUACCACACCAUCACAAGUCAUAAUAAAUGUUUAUUCGUUUAUUUUCUCUCUCUUUUUUUUUUUUUUCUUUUUUCUCGUUGCUUGUUUGGUAAAUAAUAAGGGAGAAAAAUGUUCCAACAUGAGAAGUUCUGUUUUGUAUUCAUUGUAAACAGUUUGUGUUUUCCGUCUUCUUUUUUUUCUUUGUAAACUAUAUCCACAAAUACUCAAUAAAAAUAUUUUGAAUUAAAAAAAGAGCGUUGGAGCAUUUUAGCGCUUAAAGCUGCAGCUUCUGACCACUUGGGGGCGCAUUAACAACUGCGAGCUGUGUCUGUCCUCUGCUACAGUUGCUUUUAAGAGCUUUUUGUCUCCAUCAGGAAGCCAAAGCAGCAAGGUCGUGAAUGCAGAUAAACGCUGAUGUAAGGGCACAUCUUACAUCAAACAUCUUCCAAAGGACUCUGCAGUCUAGCUGAUAACUGCUGCUCAAUGAUCAGACACACUCGUGUAACACUGUUCCUUUCUCAUAUGAGGAGUGACACCCUCCUGGCUGAAGCGCUAAUUCACCCAGUAACUGAGAGAAGUUAUCUAAGAUCCCAGAGAGAAGGGAAUUAAAUUAAUUUUAAGUUAAUUAGAUUUGUUUCGUGUCACUUCUUCACUUUAUUUGUUAUUUCUCUGUCAACUAAGGAGACAACGCAGCGAGCGGUGUUUGCUUGUGGCAACACGGUUCUCUCUCUGUAUUAUUAAUUAAAAUGAUACAUGAUUUCCUCCUGAUAUUUGCACGUAAGGAAACUUGUUAUUUAGGGAUUCUAGGUGGAGCCCAUCUCUACCUAAGCCGGGCGGAGAAACAGCGCAUGUACUCUGUCAUCCAGUGGUCGUCCACCACCAUCAGCUGCAAGCGUCUUAUCUUCUCCAGGUCAGCCGAUCGAGCCCGCCGGCGGUCCAGCCUGGAGCUCCGCUUGUCAGACUCCCUGCGGGUCUGAACGCAGGCAUCAGAAGUGUGACUCUGUGAGGAGAAACCAGAGAGAGGAGUCAUUUCCGAAAGCUACACCGGCGUUUUAUUAUUCAUGUUUGCCACGUGUUCGGUAACACAGUUUCACUUCUCUUCUGUCCUGUGAAUGAGGUCGAGCUGCUCUGCAGGACCCCUGCACUACCAAGGACGGGCCUGAAGAAAAAGGCUGAGGUCAGCAGCGGAUAGUGAGGACAGCAGAGAGGAUCAUUGGAGGCCCUCUCCCGCCCAUCUCCCAACUCUAUGACAAACACAUCAUCCGACGUGUGAAGGACACUUUCCACCCCUCACAUGCACUCUGGAUGGCGAUUGAUGGGGAACAGAGACUCUUCCCAUGAACGGAAACAACACGAACAAUGUCGUGAGGUGCCAUGACGAGAAGGAGUGACUGAGAGGAUCAUCGAUAAGAUGGAAGCUGAGGCCUGGAGAGAGUCUUCAGGAGGAUCGGAGAUCACCUUUAGCACAGAGAGCUGUGCUACUGGGCUUCCAGGAGAUCGUCAUGAGGAGACUCUGCACAGCAGAAUCUUGAAUAGGAUAAAAGAGUUUCGACGUUGACGUUGAGGAAGACUACUAAGGUGUACGACGUGCUCUGCCUUUAAAAUCUUCAGCAGCGUUGGAACAUGAGAAUCUGAGGGAGCGUGCCAAGCUCCAAAAAGUGACAGCGCAGAGGAGGUCCAGCGAUGGACUUGUGGUUCUGUGAACAGCACAAAUGCCAGGUGACUGUGAAAUAACUAACAGCACUUUUUCCACAAGUGAAGCCAGUAACUUACUAUCCUAAAAGAUUAGCUGUAGUUCCUUGUGCUUUACCUCCAUGCGUGUGAUCAGUAUGUGCAGCGGCUUAAGCUGUACAAUGUUUCAGGAUGUAGUUUUUCACCUUUUUGACACUGUUAGUUCCACACGAGGUAGAUGUCUACUACUGCAGGCUAAAAUUACAUUUCUGUCACCUACAAGACGCUUGUCUUUAAUGUUACUGUUACUCUCACAACCACAUAUUACCAUAAAGUGAUGCACAAUUCUGAAUCCGUCAAACCUUUUGCCAACGAAAGAAGAGGGCACUUCUCAUGAGCGUAGAGAAGGAGUGUAAGCCGAGGGAUGACUUAAUAGAUGUGCCACUUGGUGAGGGAAAGGUUUGGUUUGUUGAUGGUUUGAGUUUUUACAACAGCAGAGGGACAGACUAAAACAGGUUUUACUGUAGUAGAUAGUGAGAAAGUUAUCUGUACAGGACAACUAGCAUGUUUCAUAUUUGCUUGAGCAGCAGGGAUAAUAGCUUUAACGGAAGCGUGUUAAGCUGCAGAGAAACAAGAUGUGACAAUAUACACUGAUAGCCAGUAUACAUUUGCUACAGUAUAUUUACAUAGAAAUAUACUGUAGCAGUGGGUGAGACGAGGUGUGACAACCGUAAAAAUUACGCUAAACAAAAUUAUAAAGCAAAAACUGAAAUUUUGCUUUAUAAAAACUGAAAAAACUGAAAUUACCCAUUAUCUUACACUUAUCCUUAUCCAAAAUAAUUCAAAUUAUUAACAAAUAUACACUCUGUGCAAUCUGAGUAAAGUAAGAGACGAUUAGACCUUUAUCUUAUACAGUUACUAUAUACAGAGUAUUGUACAGUUAUUAAAUUAAAUAAAAAUAACUACAAAUAAGAGGCAAACCAAUGUUUGCCUCUGGGCAGUGUUAUUAUCCAGUAGAAUUGCCGUUUGUAAAUGUGUAGCACACAUGUGAGGGAAAGAUCCAGUUGCAUUAGAGGAUGCUUUUGCAGAUAAGAUCGCGAAAGAGGCAACUUUAGGAGAACAUGAUGUUAACAUUUUAGCAAUGCAACACCAGUAGACGUUGUCUAUUAUACCACAUGUAUUAGCAGACAUGCAGGCCCACUCACCUACUGCAGGGAAAACAGGUGUGACUUAAAGAAGGAGCGAGCUUGCAGGAUGGUGUUUAUUAUCUGUGUGAUACACCAAUACUGCCUUUAGAAUUUGUAUAAGACUGCUGCUAUUUUGCGCCAUGGGCUUUGCCAUGUCGCAACAGGAGGGAGAUGAUGAGUAAUUUAUACUUUAAGAUUAAAUACCCUUAAAAAACAAAUUUUGCAAGUUAUGUAUGAUAUGUUGCAAGCACAAUUCUCAGGGUAAUUUGAGACAUAAGAGAGGGAAAUUCCCCAGACCCAGUCACCCAUUACAAAUUAUUCACAUGGACUAUAGAGCUGUCCAACUGUAAUAACUAUGAGUAUUGUUUAGUGAUAAUGGUCCACACUUUGUAAAUGAAGUGAUUAGAUUAAUGGCACAACAUCUAGGGAUAACAUUAAAACAUCAUUGUUCAUAUCACCCACAAAGUGCAGGGUUGAUAGAGAGAACUAAUGGAACAGUAAAGUUAAGACUUAGGGAGACGCAGGACAUGGUUAGACUGUGUAGAAUUAGUUGAGAUGUACAUGAGGAUUAUUCCAACAGAGAACGGUCUGACUCGUUGAGAUUAUAUAUGUUAGAGCAUUUAGAGUUCUAGUCUUCUGUAGUGAUGAUAGAGAAGCAGAAGAGAGAGCAUAUUAGCAGAUUAGAUGCUUAAAAUGUUUAAAAAUAAAGAAGUCUUGAGAACAAAUGAUCUGCCAGAUGAUUCUGUUUCUCCACAGGAGCAGAGUCUGAAGUCUGGAGAUUGGAUUUUGAUAAGGCCAUGGAGAGGAAGUGCUGGUCCAGUCCACGGUGGUCCCUAUCGGGUGAUGCUGACGACGACCAUAGCAGUGAAGAUUGCUGAAAGGAUUACUUGGAUAUGUGACAGGUUGAAGGACUACUGUUGAAGGACUACUGCAUAUAAAACUGUUCAGUUAAUAAUAAUUCAUAUCAGUUGAUAAUGUAAAUAUGGUAAGAAAAUGGUUAAGAGUUUAUUAUUUUUCAUGUUAUAUCAAUGGCUUUCAUGUUAUUUAAGAGAACUGCAAUCUAUACAUCAGUGAUCUAGUAAGCCUUUUCUGGGAUCGAUUAGUAGUGUCUCUAUUCUCCACUAGGGGGCUUUCGCGCGCUCUCCUCACUGCAAUAAACCACUGCAUGAGAGACGCAAGUCAUAAUCACUCUCGUGAUUCUUUUCCCCCUGUUUUCAGGUAAAAGUGUUUAAAAGUUGAUAUAUUUCCAAUGUGUACACUGUUAAGAUAUUUAAGAGAUAAUCCUUCAUUGUUUUGUAAGCUUUAGAAGCAUUAUAUUACGGGUUUUGUGCACAUAUACGUGGCGGUUUUGAGCCUCAGUUUUGUACUGUGUGGUGGCCAUUAAGAUAACGGCAAGAGCUAAAAACGCAGCUAUUGUCAGCCAUUUUGUCAGGAAACCUGCUCAGGUAUCUGUAUAGUAAGCACUUUGGUAUUUUGGUUUAUUGUUUGGUGUUUUCUUCCACCAUGUGACAUUGAGCAGUGCAGAGUGUGAAAUGUUUCUGUUCAUUUUGACUGCAAUAAACCACUGCAUGA